UACAGAGGUCCCAAGCGUUGUUCGGAUUCAUUGGGCGUAAAGGGUGCGUAGGCGGCGCGGUAAGUCGGGUGUGAAAUCUCGGGGCUUAACUCCGAAGCUGCAUUCGAUACUGCCGUGCUUGAGGACUGGAGAGGAGACUGGAAUUUACGGUGUAGCGGUGAAAUGCGUAGAUAUCGUAAGGAAGACCAGUGGCGAAGGCGGGUCUCUGGACAGUUCCUGACGCUGAGGAGCGAAAGCGUGGGGAGCGAACAGG
rnacentral:rRNA from 1 species